GUGAGGAAUAUUGCGCAAUGGAGGCAACUCUGACGCAGCCAUGCCGCGUGCAGGAAGAAGGCGCUACGCGUUGUAAACUGCUUUUAACCGGGAAGAAACCCCAGGACGUGUCCUGGGUUGACGGUACCGGAGGAAUAAGCACCGGCUAACUUCGUGCCAGCAGCCACGGUAAUACGAAGGGUGCAAGCGUUAUCCGGAUUCAUUGGGUUUAAAGGGUGCGUAGGCGGAGCGUUAAGUCAGUGGUGAAAUCCUGCAGCUUAACUGUAGACUUGCCAUUGAUACUGGCGCUCUUGAGUGCGCUUGAAGUGGGCGGAAUGUGCCGUGUAGCGGUGAAAUGCUUAGAUAUGGCACAGAACACCAAUUGCGAAGGCAGCUCACUAAGGCGAUACUGACGCUGAGGCACGAAAGCGUGGGGAUCGAACAGGAUUAGAAACCCUUGUAGUCC
rnacentral:rRNA from 1 species